rnacentral:rRNA from 1 species
AACCCGAAGAUCGAAUGAGGAGACUCAUCGUCAGCGGAGUCGGCUUUCAUGCGGUUCGCGAUGUCUGAGACAGCGCACUCGUUGCGUUCGUUGAUUUCACGCGUCCGCUGUGGCAUGUGUCCGGCUACGUCGGCGUGCACUUCUCCUCUAGUAGAACGUCGCGACCCGCUGGGUGUCGGUUUAAGGACCGAGAUCGUCGACUGUUUCGUCGCUUCGGCGCACGAUAGCAGACGCUCGGCUUCCCGACCGGCUGCUCGGCGGUAUGCAUACAAGGUAUCGAGCCGCACUCGAAUGCGUUCAGACACGUCACAAGCUCGACCUGAUUUUUUCCGGAUGUGCGGACCUGGUGCCGUACCCGGGGUCGGUUGGCUGUUGGUUGGCGUUGUUCUCGAACCGGCUAAAAUUGUUGAACAACGAUACCGGUCUGCGGCGCUAUUGCUUUGGGUACUUUCAGGACCCGUCUUGAAACACGGACCAAGGAGUCUAACAUGUGCGCGAGUCAUUGGGAAUGAAAAACCUAAAGGCGUAUUGAAAGAGAAGAUCGACCUCGCGCCGAUCGAGGGAGGAUGGGCGGCGUUUAGAUGCCGCUCCGCACUCCCGGGGCGUCUCGUUGUCAUUGCGACUUGAGGCGCACCAAGAGCGUACACGUUGGGACCCGAAAGAUGGUGAACUAUGCCUGGUCAGGACGAAGUCAGGGGAAACCCUGAUGGAGGUCCGUAGCGAUUCUGACGUGCAAAUCGAUCGUCGGAACUGGG